AAACUCUGGCAAGUGGUGAUUAAUUAUAAAAAGUUUUUUCUGACAUGUGGCAUGAACCUGACAGCAUCAGGUUACGAGGAGAUGGGGGCUGUGGUGACUUGUGGGAUCAGGAAUUUCAACCUAGAGAACCGAGCAGAACGGGAAAUCAGCAAGAUGAAGCCCUCUCCCGCUGCAGGCACCGCUCUACCAGCAGCCUCCUGUGAGAGCAGAUUAGCGUCUAUCCAGAAAUUAAGGGAGAGAUUGCCUGUAAAGGUGACAAGCUACUAUCAUUUCUAAAAGGUAUGUAUGUUGAUUCCAAAGAUCCUGUGUCUUCUGUGCAGGUAAAAGCUGCUGAAACAUGUCAAGAGCCAAAGGAAUUCAGAUUGCUGAAAGGCCAUCACUUUGAUAUAAUCAAUAUUAAGAGCAUUCCCAAAGGCAAAAUUUCCGUUGUAGAAAGAUUGACACUUCUCAAUAACCAUAAGCUUUAUCCAGAAACAUGGACUGCUGAGAAAACAGCGCAAGAAUACCAUCUAGAACAGAAAGAUGUGAAUUCCCUUCUUAAAUACUUUGUUACUUUUGAAGUCAACAUCUUCCCUCCUGAAGACAAGAAAGCAAUACAAUCAAAAUGAAGAAAGGCACAAAAAUGUCCUCUGUGUACUCCUUACCCCUCAUCCUGUAUAUUUUCUCAUUUUUAUUAAAUUAUGUUAAUUUACCAAGUGUUUAAUGCUCUCAUUGUGAGAGCAUGCUAUUAAUAUUUAUUGAGCUCCCUGACUUUUCAAGAUUGCCAUCGAAUGUAUUUUGUUUUGUUUUAAUUUGGUUUAGGCAUAUUUCAUACGUACAUGUCAGCAUGACUAAUCAGCACAUCUGCACCUUUAAAUAAAAGAGUUAAUUUGUUAUUUUAGGCACAUCAAACCCACUUUUAAAUGGUCAUAUGACCCCUUGGGAAAUGUCCUGAAUCCCUCAUUUAAGUUUUACUUUCCAAGUUUGAUGUUUAGUUCAUUCCUCAUAUGUGAUAGUGAAAGUAAAAGCUUUCCUGACUCUUAAGACUGACAUUUUCUUGUUAGGGAAAGAGACUUGAUAGCAAAGUAGACUAACAGUGUUUCUCAAAUAAAGGCACACAGGAGAAAAUAAUAAAUCAAUAGAAUCUAACUAAAAUUACUACUCCAGGGAAUAAAAAGUAUUGAGGAUUUAUUUUAUUUUGAAUUGGCUUUAAGUAUGGAAUAAUUGUCUUUACAGUUAUAAAAAGUAAUUAGUGGUGUUUACAAAAUGUUGGGAAUUUGUAACAUUCCCUUUGACAAACAAAUAGGUAAGUCCCAUUGGCCUUCAGAGAGGCAGGCAGCAGUAGAAACUUUAGAAAAAGUAACAUUUCUCUAGAUUUAACAUGGAAAUAGAAAAAUUUUAAGAUUAAAUCAAAAAACCAUGGUAAAUGAAAUUUGGUGAUUACAUAUAGUUUUGGAUGUUAACACUAGUUGAGAGAGGAGAGGAAAAAUAGCAAGUAAAAGCAGAGAACAGGAUCAUUGGAAGGGACCUGAGAAAUCACUGCUUCAUCCGUUUCAGCAAACUUACUAGCAUGGCAUGUACUGGUACCAGGAUCUUGAGUGAGAGUGUGUGAGUUUAGCUCUGCCUAAUAUAUUACUACUUGUGGGAUCUUUGGAAGACUAUAUCCUCUUUGAGACUGAAUUUCUUCUAUAAAAUGAGCAUAAUGCUACCUUACUUAAAUUUAAGGCUUAUCAUAAAGAUCAGUGAAAUAGUAAAGGACUACAAAGGACCAA